rnacentral:rRNA from 1 species
GACGAACGCUGGCGGCGUGCUUAACACAUGCAAGUCGAACGGAAAGGCCCUUUUGGGGGUACUCGAGUGGCGAACGGGUGAGUAACACGUGAGUAACCUGCCCUUGACUUCGGGAUAACUUCAGGAAACUGGGGCUAAUACCGGAUAGGAAUCCUUGCUGCAUGGUGGGGGUUGGAAAGCUUCGUCGGUUUUGGAUGGACUCGCGGCUUAUCAGCUUGUUGGUGGUAGUGGCUUACCAAGGCUUUGACGGGUAGCCGGCCUGAGAGGGCGACCGGCCACAUUGGGACUGAGAUACGGCCCAGACUCCUACGGGAGGCAGCAGUGGGGAAUAUUGCACAAUGGGCGGAGGCCGGAUGCAGCAACGCCGCGUGCGGGAUGACGGCCUUCGGGUUGUAAACCGCUUUCAGCAGGGGCGAAGCUUGUGGUGACGUUACCUGCAGAAGAAGCACCGGCUAACUACGUG